rnacentral:rRNA from 1 species
GUUGCCAACAGGUAAUGCUGGGAACUCUAAUGAAAGUGCCGCCGUAAGGCGUGAGGAAGGAGGGGAUGAUGUCAAGUCAUCAUGGCCUUUAUGCCCAGGGCUACACACGUGCUACAAUGGGCAGGACAAAGGGCUGCAACAUAGUGAUAUGAAGCCAAUCCCAAAAACCUGCUCUCAGUUCAGAUCGAAGUCUGCAACUCGACUUCGUGAAGCUGGAAUCGCUAGUAAUCGUAUAUCAGCAAUGAUACGGUGAAUACGUUCCCGGACCUUGCACACACCGCCCGUCAAGCC